GCCGAUGUCGGGGAGCAGGAGCAUAGAUUUUGUUUCAGUGAGACCAAGAAAAUGUGGGUGGGUUUGUUUCCAGAGCCCCUGGUCCCAACAUGCCUGAUGGGUGAAAACGGACCAGUGCCCCGGUUUGUAGACAAUCUUCCGGCCCCGUGCUGCCCUUCUUCCUCUCACAUGUGGGGCGUUCUGGGGACCCCUCUCCUUACCAGGCUGCUCUUUGUCCCAGUGUGUUCAGGAAUGGGGACCUGGUAAGUCCGCCAUUUAGCCUGAAGCUGUCCCAGGCUGCUGGCGAGGACUGGGAAACCGUGCUGAAGCUCCUGACUGAGAAGGCCAAACUGCAGGCUGGGGCUGUGUGCAAGUGAGUGUGGGCCCCGGGGAGGGAGCCUCCCUGCUGGUCCCGGCUGUCCUAGCGGACAACAAGGUGAAAGGAAAGCACGUCUCCCCAAAUGGGACUUCCUUCUACGCCACAGGGAGAGGCCCCCACAGCUGAGCCCCUGGAGCCAGGGCAGAGCCGAGGUGACUGGCCCGGGUGCUCGGAGGGUCAGCAGCCAGCGCGUACCCCGUCAUAGUCUGCCGAGUGUGAAGAGGCAUCUUGUCCGCUGGCCUUUACCCACCUACCUCUCUCUCCCAGACUCUGCAGCCUGGAGGGGCUCCCACUGUCAGCAAGAGAGGCUCUGGUGAACGGCCAUUAUUAUGUGGCGGUCGGAGAAGAGGAGUUCCAGGCCCUCCCUUAUGUGGAGCUGCUGGUGCCCAGCCCCUCACUGCCCAGGGGCUGCUGGUACGGACGGGCACCCGCCAGACCCAAAGUCUAAGCCCCACAAGCCGCGGCUCCCACAGGCACCAGGGGCAUUCAAGCUUGGCCUGGCAGGAGAGAAGGCAAGAACAACCAUCACCCCCAGUCCAAGCCCAGUAUGUCCUCUACAGGCCCAGGGCCCCAGGGCACAGGCAUCCCAGCCCUCUCCAAAGGAACCAAGCCCCACUGAGCCAUCUGCUUUCUAUGCCAGACCCCAGCAGGCCAUUCAGCCAAGCAACAGGCUCCCCACGCUCUCAGUUCCCUCAGGUGAGGGGACCCUGGGCCCUUCUCACCCACCCUCUGACAGUGACACAGAAUGGUCCCUGUUGUGGGAGAGGUCCAUGGGGGCAGAAUGCCCGGGGACAGAGCUGGCCCUGGCCUCAACACAGAUCUUUCCCGCUGCCCCACGUGCACACGCAGUCCCUGGCUUCUUUGUGGGGAGCUGGCAAUAUGAAACGAGGCACAGGGAAACUUCAAGGGUGGGAUCUGGAAGGGAUGGGGGCCAAUGUCCUGCCUCAGAGCUACCCU